AAGUCGUAACAAGGUCUCCGUUGGUGAACCAGCGGAGGGAUCAUUACCGAGUUUACAACUCCCAAACCCCUGUGAACAUACCUUAAUGUUGCCUCGGCGGAUCAGCCCGCGCCCCGUAAAACGGGACGGCCCGCCAGAGGAUCCAAACUCUAAUGUUUCUUAUUGUAACUUCUGAGUAAAACAAACAAAUAAAUCAAAACUUUCAACAACGGAUCUCUUGGUUCUG
rnacentral:misc_RNA from 1 species